CCAAGACUAAAAAAAUCCCUACCCAAAAAAAGAGGAGACCAGCGGCAGAACUCAACGGACAACCCAUCGCCCGUCUUCUUCUUCAACCUCUUGAAUGCCAAAAAACCAGAACCCCCUUAAACCUUCAACCUUCACAAACCAGCAACCACCCCUUUCAAAAAAUCCAUCUUCCCCGCCUCUCCCGUCGCCUGAGACAGCAAUAAAAGCACACACACACACAUGGAAAGGCGGAAACAUUGACGCACACACACAUGGGGAUAUUGGAAAACAAAAACAUAAAAGUGAAAACGAGCAAAGAACAUAAUAGAAAUUGAAAUCCAUUAAUCUUUGUCCUUAAAAAUAAAUCUUGACCCAUAAGCUUUCUGUCAGCCCAUCAACCAUAAAUUCCGGUCAGGCCUUUGAGCUUCGGUGUUUUCUGGGUCGAGUAGAGGUCGGGUUCGUCGACAAGAUUUGAAUUUCUCCGGUGAGGUUCGGUCAGUCCGCCGUUUGUCAAAUUCCGUUCGUGGUCUUGGUCACGCCCCUAUCCUUUUGGGAGCUUCAAAACAGUCAAGUCCGGAUUCGCUUUCAGAGGAACAUGCUUAGGCCAACCACCCUUGGGGAGGCAAGCCUUAGGAGUUUUGUUAGUUUUGAGGUGAGAGGCUGCUCCCUUAGUUAAAUUUACUCGGGGAAUGCCCCGAGAGAUUUGUAUAUAUUUUAUUUCAGGGGUAUGCCCCGAAGUGAAUGUAAUUAGAGGCAGGAACAAACAUCGUAGAAGAAAUAGCGUAGGAUAAUUUAGAACUUUAAUUUUUCUUCUUUUAAUUUCCUUUCAUUUAGGUGGGGAUGACCUCGAGCCUCUUUUGAUUGUUUAUUUUCUUUUUGUGUGUUAUUACCUCAAUUCGAAUAUUUUAAAAGCCGACUUGAUCAAGUAUGAAACCGUACUAGUUACAGGACUUGGGGAGUGCCUAACACCUUCUCCCCGAGUCAAAUGAACCCCCUUACCCGAAUCUCUGGUGCAGAUUUAGUUUUGGAGUUUCAAGUGUUU